GGAGGCGGCCGGACGGCCGCGGACGCGAUCGUCGAAAGGCGGCGUUCGAGGAAAGUCCGAGCUCCAUAGAGCAGGCUCGCGGGUAACACCCGUCCGCCGUGAGGCGAGGACCAGCGCCACAGUGACGAUGCCCGCGCAAGCGGGAGUGAAACGGGCAAGCUCGAGCCGGAGCAAGACCGAAUAGGAGGGCGAAGCGACCUUCGGGUCGCGGCAGGUGGCUCGCUCAGCCCUCGGGUAGGUCGCCCAGAUGGAUGGCCGUCACCGGAUCUCGGUCCGGGACAGAACUCGGCUUACAGGCCGCUCUCCAGGA
rnacentral:RNase_P_RNA from 1 species